rnacentral:tRNA from 1 species
UGAGGGUUAGUGUAGUGGUAACACGACGGGUUCUGGCCCCGUUAUCCAAGGUUCGAGUCCUUGACCCUCAGCCA